GGGGCCAAGAAAGAUGUCAUCCCAGUGCUCAGACACUGGGAUCCAGAAAAUUUAAUUGUAAACAAGCAUACUAGACAAUUGUAUAAUGAAAACUGGAUUCCAGUGUCAAGCACUGGAAUGACAAGUACUCCAAGUU
rnacentral:ncRNA from 1 species